rnacentral:lncRNA from 1 species
AUGGGUUUCCGUUUGGGUAAACAGGUUGUAGGGUGGUGCCAUUUACCAUCCUCUGUCAGAGGGAGAAUCGAGUUUGGGACCAAAUGGGAAAAUCUGCACGGAAUCAUGAUCCCAGCCCAGAGAGCUCCCAGGCCAAGGUGCAAUUGCAACCCACCCGGUCCUUUAAGGCGAUGUGCCAGGAGGGGAUUGAACCUGUGUCCCAGCACUCCAGAGAUGCCGCUGAUCCUGUUGCACCAUAGAGGAAACUCCAAAAGCUUUUCUUGGCCCAAGCUGCAGGCUCUCAGAAGCUUGACAAACCAGCAUCGCCAUCUGGAGGACAGCAUGAGAAUCUGGGUGAAUAUUAUCCAUUGAAAAUGAUGCGCUCUUCCAUGGAAGGCAAGCCGACAGUGUGUGUGAGGGGCUUUUGAAUCUCUGCUCUGUCACUGACCAUGGAGAACUCGGUUGCUUCAUGUGGCUUUCUUUCCUGUAAGAUGAGGAUAACGGUGCCAUCUGACUCGUAGGAUCAUCAUGAAGAUUAAUGAGGUAACCUUCGAUCUCAUCUUUCUCUGCCUGUCAUUUGGUAUAGAUUACCCUUGAAGAGGACAAGUCUUUCUUACUUACCCGAAGUUCCAGGCCCCUGAUGUUUAAGCGGAGUGUAUUGGCCCCUUCUCACAUACAGGGCUCUGGGAAGGUUGAGGGGUCAGUUUGCAGAGUGAGCCCAGGGACCUUCUGGGAGGGAAAAGGCUGGUCCCUUUCCCUAUUCCCUGAGAGUAGGGUUUAGGGAGAUACAUGGACUUGUGAGCAAUUCAGAAAAGGAUUCAGAAGUAGGAAAAGCCAACAGGUCCAAUGUGUUACUGAGUCCAAGCUUGUGCUGCUCACUGCAGAACAAGGCAUUAAAUCCGCAGACAUGUUGCUGGGGCAAGGAAUAGUGACUUUAUUCAGAAAGCCAGCAGACCGAGAUGGUGGACUAGUGUCCCAAAGAACCAUCUUGCCCUGGUUUGGAUGUUAGUUUCUUGUAUGGGACAGCAGGGGACAUCAGGAGGUAAAGCAAAAAAGGCAAUAAGUUGUAACUAUUUUCUGUUCAAGCCAGACUCCGGAGGGGAUGUGUUCAUUUCUUCCCGCCUGCAGUCAUUCAUAGGUGGGCCUGAUCGGGAGGUUUCCUGAGAGCCAACAAAGGUAUUUUAGCUUAAUGCUCAGACAUGGGAGGCAGGGUUCCUGGAGAAGGGCCAUUAUGUAUCCCUUUUGUGAUUAACUUGCAGCAAAAGCAAUAGAAUACAAAACUUAAAGAAACAGAUCCAGUAUGGAGUCAGACUGUUCUUCCCUAUUACAAACUGAAUCCAGGGACUUACAGCCAGGCUUGGCAAUAAACCCAGAAAGGUGAGUGUGAGAUGGGGAUUCUGGCUCCUUGAAGUGCUUGAUGCUGUAAUUGGUUCUGCCUGUCCCUCAAGGCCGGUGUAUUGUAAGAUGAAUAACCCUAGAGGCUCAGUUCUUUUAGGAAUGACAGGGGGCCUCUCAAAUGAGCAUCACCUGGAGGCAUCUCCUUUCCUUGAAAAACUGCUAGUGAGAAACUGGGUUGGUGAGCUAAGGCCCUGCCUCUGCAGCAUCUCACGCAAGGAUUGGGCUGCAGGUCAGCUCUGCUGCUGUUAUCUUGCAAAGUUACUGAGAAUCUGGGUUCCUCCACCAUCCCCGAGUAGCUUGGCCUCUGGUGGACAUGGCUCCCCAGUGGAGACUAAAAGAGAACUGUGGAUGGUUUGGCUGUGAGCCCCUCAGGGCCGUAUGGUUCUUCCUGGAAGAAUUCCCCCUCCCCUUUCCCUCUGCUGGAGAUUCCACUCCAGCAACUGGGGUUAUAGCAGGAGCAGAGAACUGGGACCUAAUCCUGUGCUUUGGCCACUGCCCACCAUGACCAGCUUCUACACAUUCAGUGCCCUUAUCUGCAGUCCACCCACGGAAAUGGGAUCAAACCAUGUGAGCUUCUUGCUACAAGACACAGGUCAUGGCUCCUGGAUUCUAGAUGCCUAAAGAAAAGGGGGGAUGAAUCAACCCCUGGGGAGAGGUUGACGGGACUUCUGCACUUCCACCUCUCACCAGCAGGUGGCGCCUCAAACAAUGUAAUCUGGGACCUGACCCAGAACAUUGUACCCAGCAAAAGGGAACCCUCCAGCGCACAGCAAAGACCUUUGGGGGCGGGGGGAGGUACUUCUUAUUAUGGGAACGAUAAUUACUCACAUGAUCUCCCCACCACCACUGCCAUUUUGUUUUUACAAAAUGGAAUGAAGAGAAGGAAUUUCUUUCUAUUCGCGGAAGAAUGCAACUCCCGUCAGGAAUAUAAUUUUUCUUUUCGUCUCAUCUGUCUUUUUGUCGGGCCGCUUCCCGGCAUAUGGAGGUUCCCAGGCUAGGGGUCUAAUCCGAGCUGUAGCCACCGGCCUAUGCCAGAGCCACAGCAACGUGGGAUCCGAGCCGUGUCUGUGACCCACACUACAGCUCAGAUCCUUAACCCACUGAGCAUGGCAUGGCCAGGGAUUGAACCUGCACCCUCAUGGUUCCUAGUCAGAUUCGUUAACAACGGGAACUCCAGGAGUAUAAUUUUACCUCGACCUUAAAGGAUUGACUAGAAGGAAUGGAAAGUCCUAAAGUUCCCUCCUCACCUCUCUCACCCAUCCUUUCCCUUUCCUCCUCCAGCUUCCAUUGCCUACUAUCGCUAUAACCACAGCAACCUGGCUGGCGGGGAAAUAUGGAAACUCCAACUCAUUCUUCUAGAUUCAG